GCGGAUGAAGGGAGCUUGCUCCUGGAUUCAGCGGCGGACGGGUGAGUAAUGCCUAGGAAUCUGCCUGGUAGUGGGGGAUAACGUCCGGAAACGGGCGCUAAUACCGCAUACGUCCUGAGGGAGAAAGUGGGGGAUCUUCGGACCUCACGCUAUCAGAUGAGCCUAGGUCGGAUUAGCUAGUUGGUGGGGUAAAGGCCUACCAAGGCGACGAUCCGUAACUGGUCUGAGAGGAUGAUCAGUCACACUGGAACUGAGACACGGUCCAGACUCCUACGGGAGGCAGCAGUGGGGAAUAUUGGACAAUGGGCGAAAGCCUGAUCCAGCCAUGCCGCGUGUGUGAAGAAGGUCUUCGGAUUGUAAAGCACUUUAAGUUGGGAGGAAGGGCAGUAAGU
rnacentral:rRNA from 1 species